GCUCGCCUGGGAUGCUCGACAACUCCGGUGUAAUUUGAACCUACAUUUACUUUAAACGGGACACCUAGAUUGCAUUUUCCAAUGUCACGCCUCCGGCCCUGCACAUGUGCAGACAAGCUAUGGGAGAGGAAGACAGCGAAAAGGGCUGCGGUAACCCACCUGGCGUUAGCUAGGAGUCAAAUAACCGGAACCGGCAUUCUCGGGAUUAUU
rnacentral:other from 1 species